AGAGUUUGAUCCUGGCUCAGGACGAACGCUAGCGGCGCGCCUAAGGUAUGCAAGUCGAACGGACCCGCAAGGGUUAGUGGCGAACGGUCGAGUAACACGUAGACAACCUGCCUCCGCAGUGGGGGAUAACAGUCCGAAAGGGCUGCUAAUACCGCAUGUGGCCGGGAAGCGAUGCUUCCUGCGCUAAAGGAGCAAUUCGCUGGGAGAUGGGUCUGCGGCCUAUCAGGUAGUUGGUGGGGUAAUGGCCUACCAAGGCGACGAUGGUUAGCUGGUCUGAGAGGAUGAUCAGCCACACUGGAACUGAGACACGGUCCAGACUCCUACGGGAGGCAGCAGUGAGGAAUCUUGCGCAAUGGGGGAAACCCUGACGCAGCAACGCCGCGUGAGUGAGGAAGGUCUUCGGAUCGUAAAGCUCUGUCGGAUGGAAAGAACCGCAUAGGGGUAAACAGCUCCUAUGUCUGACGGUACCAUCAAAGGAAGCACCGGCUAACUCCGUGCCAGCAGCCGCGGUAAUACGGGGGGUGCAAGCGUUGUUCGGAAUUAUUGGGCGUAAAGAGCGUGUAGGCGGCCUGAUGUGUCAGAUGUGAAAGCCCUGGGCUUAACCCAGGAAGUGCAUUUGAAACUGUCAGGCUUGAGUAGGGGAGAGGGAAGUGGAAUUCCUGGUGUAGAGGUGAAAUUCGUAGAUAUCAGGAGGAACACCGGUGGCGAAGGCGACUUCCUGGCCCUAUACUGACGCUGAGACGCGAGAGCGUGGGUAGCAAACAGGAUUAGAUACCCUGGUAGUCC
rnacentral:rRNA from 1 species